UGUAUUCAGCAUUUCACUGUAAGGUCUACUACACCUGUUGUAUUCAGCAUUUCACUGUGAGGUCUACUACACCUGUUGUAUUCAGCAUUUCACGGUAAGGUCUACUACACCUGUUGUAUUCAGCAUUUCACUGUGAGAACUACUACACCUGUUGUAUUCAGCAUUUCACUGUAAGGUCUACACCUGUUGUAUUCAGCAUUUCACUGUAAGGUCUACACCUGUUGUAUUCAGCAUUUCACUGUGAGGUCUACUACACCUGUUGUAUUCAGCAUUUCACUGUGAGGUCUACACCUGUUGUAUUCAGCAUUUCACUGUAAGGUCUACCUGUUGUAUUCAGCAUUUCACUGUAAGGUCUACUACACCUGUUGUAUUCAGCAUUUCACUGUAAGGUCUACUACACCUGUUGUAUUCAGCAUUUCACUGUAAGGUCUACUACACCUGUUGUAUUCAGCAUUUCACUGUGAGGUCUACUACACCUGUUGUAUUCAGCAUUUCACUGUAAGGUCUAGUACACCUGUUGUAUUCAGCAUUUCACUGUGAGGUCUACUACACCUGUUGUAUUCAGCAUUUCACUGUGAGGUCUACUACACCUGUUGUAUUCAGCAUUUCACUGUGAGGUCUACUACACCUGUUGUAUUCAGCAUUUCACUGUGAGGUGUACUACACCUGUUGUAUUCAGCAUUUCACUGUGAGGUGUACUACACCUGUUGUAUUCAGCAUUUCACUGUGAGGUCUACACCUGUUGUAUUCAGCAUUUCACUGUGAGGUCUACUACACCUGUUGUAUUCAGCAUUUCACUGUGAGGUCUACACCUGUUGUAUUCAGCAUUUCACUGUGAGGUCUACUACACCUGUUGUAUUCAGCAUUUCACUGUAAGGUCUACCUGUUGUAUUCAGCAUUUCACUGAGAGGUCUACUACACCUGUUGUAUUCAGCAUUUCACUGUGAGGUCUACUACACCUGUUGUAUUCAGCAUUUCACUGUAAGGUCUACCUGUUGUAUUCAGCAUUUCACUGAGAGGUCUACUACACCUGUUGUAUUCAGCAUUUCACUGUAAGGUCUACUACACCUGUUGUAUUCAGCAUUUCACUGUAAGGUCUACCUGUUGUAUUCAGCAUUUCACUGUGAGGUCUACUACACCUGUUGUAUUCAGCAUUUCACUGUAAGGUUUACUACACCUGUUGUAUUCAGCAUUUCACUGUGAGGUCUUCUACACCUGUUGUAUUCAGCAUUUCACUGUAAGGUCUACUACAACUGUUGUAUUCAGCAUUACACUGUGAGGUCUACUAUACCUGUUGUAUUUGGCGCAUGUGACAAAUACAAUUUGAUUUCAUUUAAACAAUUAAUUUAAGGGGAAUUAUCCAAAACGUUUAUUGCAAGACUACCUAGUAAAUUGGGAAUACUGCAGCCAAUGUUAAUUGGUGAUGUGUCCCAAAAUAAUUUAUAUUAUGAAAGUUUCUGACAGGAUUGUCCAUCAAAAUAAAGUUGUGUAAUGAAA